rnacentral:rRNA from 1 species
UGGGGAAUAUUGCACAAUGGGCGCAAGCCUGAUGCAGCCAUGCCGCGUGUAUGAAGAAGGCCUUCGGGUUGUAAAGUACUUUCAGCGGGGAGGAAGGGAGUAAAGUUAAUACCUUUGCUCAUUGACGCUACCCGCAGAAGAAGCACCGGCUAACUCCGUGCCAGCAGCCGCGGUAAUACGGAGGGUGCAAGCGUUAAUCGGAAUUACUGGGCGUAAAGCGCACGCAGGCGGUUUGUUAAGUCAGAUGUGAAAUCCUCGGGCUCAACCUGGGAACUGCAUCUGAUACUGGCAAGCUUGAGUCUCGUAGAGGGGGGUAGAAUUCCAGGUGUAGCGGUGAAAUGCGUAGAGAUCUGGAGGAAUACCGGUGGCGAAGGCGGCCCCCUGGACGAAGACUGACGCUCAGGUGCGAAAGCGUGGGGAGCAAACAGG